rnacentral:rRNA from 1 species
CCUACGGGUGGCAGCAGUGGGGAAUAUUGCACAAUGGGGGAAACCCUGAUGCAGCGACGCAGCGUGAGUGAAGAAGUACUUCGGUAUGGUAAGCUUUAUCAGCAGGGAAGAAGACAUACGGUACCUGACUAGGAAGCCCCUGCUAACUACGUGCGAGCAGCCGCGGUAAUACGUAGGGGGCAAGCGUUAUACGGAUUUACUGGGUUUAACGGGAGCGUAGACGGCUGUGCAAGUCUGAAGUGAAAGUCCAGGGCUCAACCCUGGGUCUGCGUCGGAACCUGGGGAGCUAGAGUGCUGGAGAGGUAAGUGGAAUUCCUAGUGUAGCGGUGAAAUGCGUAGAUAUCAGGAGGAACACCAGUGGCGAAGGCGGCUUACUGGACAGUAACUGACGUUGAGGCUCGAAAGCGUGGGGAGCAAACAGGAUUAGAUACCCGGGUAGUC